CCAAGGAGUGUAACAUGUGCGCGAGUCAUUGUGUCUUGUUCAGGUCCAUAGGCCGAAUGAAAGUGAAGGCCGAUUCGAUCGGCUGCAUUGGGAUCCCGUCCAUUCGUGGGCGGGCGCUCCAACGGCCCGUCCCGAUCGCCGCGUCGAUGGGGCGGAGUGAGAGCGUACCCGUUGGGACCCGAAAGAUGGUGACCUAUGCCUGGGCAGGACGAAGCCAGAGGAAACUCUGGUGGAGGUCCGCAGCGAUUCUGACGUGCAAAUCGAUCGUCAGACCUGGGUAUAGGGGCGAAAGACUAAUCGAACCAUUUAGUAGCUGGUUCCCUCCGAAGUUUCCCUCAGGAUAGCUGGCGCUCGGAGGAGGCAUUCUCAUCCGGUAAAGCGAAUGAUUAGAGGCCUUGGGGCCGAAACGACCUCAACCUAUUCUCAAACUUUAAAUGGGUGAGAAGUCCGGCUUGCUCGACUGAAGCCCGGAC
rnacentral:rRNA from 1 species